rnacentral:piRNA from 1 species
UGGAUAAAAGGCUGAGAAGCAAUUCCUGU